rnacentral:lncRNA from 1 species
ACUAUAUUUUCAUUAAUAGGUCAUUGUUUAAAUAUGCAUAAAUGUUUUUCUUAUUCUAAAUAUGUUCAACCAUUAAAAAAUGGAGUUUUACUGUUUAUAUUAAAUAUAACAGUUGCUAGUAAACAAAAAAAUAAUAAACCAAAAGUAACAUUAGAAGAACGAAUACACCAAAUUAUAAAAUCAGUAAAAACGUUGUGUUUUUUUAACUACCCCAAAUUUAUACCAACAUUAACGAAAAGAGUAUUCACAGCAGAAAUAGCAGCUUACCUUUAUAUUAUGACACAAUUUAUUACUUUUUUUUCAGCUAAUACUUUUUCAAGUUAUAAAAAUGUGGAACAGGAGUUGAGUGUACGAUCAUAUAACAACAAUGCAGUGUUAAAUGAUUUUUAUAUCAUAAAAGAAAAAUUAAAAAAAGCAGUAUACACAAAAGAUGAUAUAUUAGAUUGUGCCUUGAGUAAUGUACAAAUUAUUAAAUUGUUAUAUAGUAAUUUUGAAAAAAAAAUGAAUAAGAAAAAUUAUGCAUCUGAGAAAAAUACAUAUACAAACGGUACUACUGCUACUGCUACUGCUACUGCUACUUCUACUGCUACUGCUACUGCUACUGCUACUGCUACUGCUACUUCUAAUGCUACUGCUACUGCUACCGCUAAUAGUAUUAUUGGUAAUAACAACUCUAUUAACAAAAACACAGUCACUAACAAAAGUAGUAAAGAAAUUGUAGAUGAAAUUGAAAAUAAUCAUCAUAAAAAUAUAUUACAAUAUUUUUAUUUAUUUGAAGAGCAUGCUAUAAAAACCAACUUUUUCAAAACACAUAAAAUUAGUUUUGCUGUAGCAUUUGAUGGAGGCAUAUUAAAAGAUUCUAUAUAUGAAGCACAACCAUAUUCUAUUAUUAUGAUUUUGGGAUUAUAUUUUGUUGGAUUUCAUAUCAGGUUUAGUACGAUAUCAAGAGGAGGAGUACGAAUAGUCAUAUCAAAUAAUAUGAAUUCAUAUAUGCAUAAUUAUAACAACUUAUUUGAUGAAGCGUAUAACUUAGCAUUUACUCAAAAUUUUAAAAAUAAAGACAUACCAGAAGGAGGUAGUAAAGGGAUUAUUUUAUUAGAUCCUGCAUACUGUAAUAAAACCAAUACAAAAUAUGUUAAAAACUUAUCUUUUUAUUCUUAUGUUAAUUCUAUUUUAGAUUUAUUAGUGCAUGAAAGUUAUGAAAGUAUACAAUCAGUUCAGGUUAAAAAUAUUCCAAACAAAUGUGAAAUAUUGGACCAGAGUAGUAAUAAUAAUGUUGUUGUCGAAAACAAAGAACAUAAUAUUAUUAAUAAAUCAAUUCUUGAUCAAAAAUUAAACCAAUGUGAUGAUGAAGAUUUGAUAUUUCUAGGUCCAGAUGAAAAUACAGGAUGUGAUCAACUAAUGGACUGGGCAAAUAUAAUUGCUAAAAAAAGGAAUUAUAAAUAUUGGAAAACAUUUUCAACAGGAAAAGAAAGAAAGAAUGGAGGUGUACCACAUGAUUAUUAUGGUAUGACUACUUUAGGUAUAGAAACUUAUAUUAAAAAAUUAUGUGAAAAACUUAAUUUAAAAGAACAAGAAAUUAAAAGAUCUAUUGUUGGAGGUCCUGAUGGAGAUUUAGGUUCCAAUGCUAUUUUCCAAUCGAAUAAUAAAAUUGUUUCUAUUAUUGACGGUGCAGGUGUUUUAUAUGAUAAAAACGGUUUGAAUAAAGAUGAAUUAAUACGAUUAGCUAAAUUAAGAAAUGAUAAAAAAUCGAAAGUAAAUACAUCUUGUAUAUUAUAUAAUGAUAAAUAUUUAUCAGAGGAAGGUUUUAAAAUAUCUGUUGAAGAUCAUAAUGUAAAUAUAUUAGGUAAAGUAAUUAAAAGUGGGUUAGAAUUUCGAAAUACUUUUUUUUUUAACCCAUUAAAUAGUUGUGAUUUGUUUAAUCCAUGUGGUGGUAGACCACAUUCUAUAAAUGUUUUUAAUGUUACUAACCUUAUUAUUAAUGAAAGUUGUAUAUAUAAGUAUAUAGUAGAAGGAGCAAACGUUUUUAUUUCUGAUGAUGCUAGAAAUAUUUUAGAAAGUAAAAAUGUUAUUCUUUUUAAAGAUGCUUCAACAAAUAAAGGAGGCGUUAUAUCAAGUAGUUUAGAAGUAUUAGCAGGUUUAUUAUUAAGUGACAAGCAGUAUAUAGAAUUAAUGUGUUCACCCAAAAGUGAUAUACUAAUGUUAGAUACAAAUGAGUCCAUAUACAUGAGACGAAAUCAAAAAAAAAAUCAUUCUUAUUCAUUUUCAAAUGCAAUCAAAAAUAGUUCCAUGGUUAGUACAAGUACAAGUGCAAGUGCAAGUGCUACCAUGACUACUACCGUUACUGCCACCACUACUGCUACCACUGCUGCUUCUGGUGAAAAUACCAAUGACGAAACACUUAAUAAUACUACCCAAAUUGACAAAAAAUAUAAUAAUUCAAUAUUCAAAAAAGAACCAGAUGAAUCAUCUUCAGUACAAACAAAAGUAAAUGAAAAUGAUAUUGACGAUACAAAUGAUAUAGAUAAUGAAGAUGAUGUUACACCAUUUUAUAAAGAAUAUGUUAAAGAAAUUCAAAAAAAAAUAAUACAUUAUUGUGAACUUGAAUUUGAAGCAUUAUGGAAAGAAACUAGAAGAACUAAAACUCCUAUUUCAAAAGCAACCAACAUAUUAUCUCAAAAAAUUAGCGAACUUAAAAAAGAUAUAUUAUCUUCUGAUACAUUAUGCACAGAUCAUAAUUUAAUAAAAAGAGUUUUACAAGAUGUAAUACCACCAACUCUACUCAAAGUUGUAACAUUUGAAGAUAUUUUUGAAAGAGUUCCUCAUGUUUAUUUAGGAUCUCUUUUCGCUUCAUCAUUGGCAUCGAACUAUUAUUAUUCACAACAGUUCUUAAGCAAUUUGUCUGUUUUCAACUUUUUUGAAUAUAUACAGAAGUUGCAAAGUGAGUGCAACAACUGACUUUAUAAAAACGGUCUGGCUCGCUGGUGGCGGGUCCACCAAAUCCAAACGUCAUAACUAGUUUAACUUACUCUACUAACCAGUUUGUAAUAACAGCUACUUUUUUAAAGCAGUUGUAAUAACGUUACUAUCAUUAACGUGUUUGUGAAAAAAAAAAAAAAAAAAAAAAAAAAAAAAAAAAAAAAACACUUCCUUUUUGGGUUUAUAUGUAUAAAUAAAAGUACAUAUAAAUAUGCA